GCGAGGAGGAGGAGGAGGCGAAGGCGAGGACUUCAGCCGAAACUCCAAGGCGACUGCAGUUUGCCGGGGAUCCUGCGCGCGGAGGGCUGCCUCGUCGUCCCGGAGGCGGUGGAGCGGGGCUUCCAGGAUCGCUGGGCUUUCCCGAGGGCUAGUGGCGGUGGAGGGGGGUUUCUUUUUGGCUGGACCCUUCUUUCGCCCCUCGUCUUGUUUCCCCCUCCCUUCGGCGUGAAGAUGGACGUGUGAAGGGUUCGUUGCAAACGCCAACCUUGCCCGGGAGACUUCGCGGAAGGGCUAUAAUAGGAUUAUGACAGGAUGGCCCUCAGAAUGAGACACUGGUGAUGCAAAGGCAACAACCCAGGAGCUUCAGGCCAGCACUAACUUCAAGGUA